rnacentral:rRNA from 1 species
UACAGAGGUGGCUAGCGUUGUUCGGAUUCAUUGGGUGUAAAGGGUGCGUAGGCGGUCCGGAAAGUCGGGUGUGAAAGCCCACAGCUCAACUGUGGAAAUGCAUUCGAAACUUCCAGACUCGAGUGCGAGAGAGGUGAAGGGAAUUCCCGGUGUAAGGGUGAAAUCUGCAGAGAUCGGGAGGAACACCAGCAGCGAAGGCGCUUCACUGGCUCGUAACUGACGCUGAGUGCACGAAGGCGUGGGGAGCAAACGGG